UCAGUUGAAACGGCUGAAAGAGGUAUGCUUGAUCCGGGGCUCUCAUUGUUGGGAGGGCGACACCAUUGACCCCGAAUCUAGCGAGUGUUGGAGAGGAGAUCCGGGAGCAAAAUCCGCGGUGGCGUGGUGUCAUCUAUGGCUGGAGAUUUUCGUGCUGGACAAUAUAGACUUGGGUCUAUUUAAUAUGGUACAUCGCGAGCUCCCUCGUGUGUAGUGUUUUGAUCAGAAAAUGCUGUAGCAAAUGAUUACGAUGGCGUAUUUCAAGAAACAAGGCGUGGUGACGUAUGUGCCUGCAGCGUUGGGCCCUCCAGAUUCGGUGUGUUAUGAUCGGGUAGCUCUGAUGAGCCAGCCAUCUGGUGGUGCUUCUGCAACAAGGUCCCCUGAUGAGGUGCCAUCGGGAGGGAUGUUUGAUGGAAGGGUUGGCCAGAAGCCGGACGUCAUCCUGAACAGGGGUGCGCUAGUGGGUGGCACAUUGGGGGAUCCAAUGUCUGCACAUCGAUCUGUUGGACCUAACAAGUUUGCCAAGCAUUUACGAGAGACUUGUGGGGAUGAUCUGGUGCUUCAAGAACUGAGUUUGAUGUUGAAGCAGCACAAUGCGAAGUGCACACUGAGUAUGACAUUGCUUCGUAACAGGAUGCAGUCCGACAUGUUUUCUUUCGCUGAUAGUUAUAGAGCUUGUGCGGGACCGUUUCCGUUGUUGUAGCAAGCGCGGACUGUCAAAGUGUGUGAUGCUAGAUGAUCCCGGGAGGUGAUGUGCAGGGGGUAAACUGAUGCAUCUGAGGAAUGUGACAAUGGUGGCUCGCCUGCUUGUCAUGUCCAAUGAUGAAGGUAUUGAUUUUAGAGAAAUGAAGAUAUAGAAGUUGUCAAUGCCAGAGUAGUCCUUGACACGGUCCGCUGCUUUUACGACAACUGUGAUGCGGAUGCAGAUGUUGUUUUAUUUGGGCAGAUAGAGGCUAAGUUGCCGAAAAGGAGGUAUGUUAUGUUGGCAAGUUUUGCUGCUAACCCAUGGACAAGUGGAUGCCUACCACAACCACCACCAAUCCCAUUGGUGAAUAGGUUUCAUGCAUGGAUAUCGGGAGGAAAUCAGUUUGAAUUAGACAGUGUAUGGUUUGUGCAUACAUACCCACGGCUUCUGAGGGUGAAUGUCGUGUGUGUUCUGCAAUAGAUGGUUGGGACGCAUCCACUUGACCACGAGGUUGCUGCUCUCGCUAUAAGGAGGUUUCACCAGAUCGACGUGGAGGCGCAGUCUGUGAACAUGUACAUGAUGUGGAACCUGAUUUCUCGGUUAGUACAUGAUCAUGCUCUUCAUGCAUUUGUGGAUGUGAAGAAAGGACUGAGGGAGUCCUGGAUUAGGGGGUCUCUGGACAGUCGGACUAUAUCCUUUGCUCGGACUGUUGGACUAUGAAGAUACAAGAUUGAAGACUUCGUCCCGUGU